GGGGGGGUUGUGAAAGGUUUUGUGAAUGCAAAUGAAUUAAAUUAAAACAUAGAUCCAAACAAAAAUGUAAACAGAAAUGAAAACAAAAAUAUAAAAAUGGAAUGUGAAAAAACGAUUGGUCAUUAACUCAAUCACUAUGCUUCCAAUCACAGAUUAACGAGAAGUACACACUACUCUAAUUCAAAUCCAACACGAAUCAUCCAACUAAGCGAAAGAUAAUUCGGUCUUCAAAAUUGCAAACUAAGCGAAUGCAAUGCUUAAAUCCAAUCAGUCAUGCACCAUAUAGUCUAAUCA
rnacentral:lncRNA from 1 species